CACCUACCCUCAUCAGCCGGUGAGCAAGGUGGAAAGACCAGUGGAGCAUAAAGACCCCAUCGUAGGGGAGCUUCACUGGCCAUAUCGGGAAACUGAUAUGCCGUCGCAAGACGG
rfam:Microgenomates (Daviesbacteria) bacterium GW2011_GWB1_41_5 TT67_C0042, whole genome shotgun sequence.